GUAGGAGUAAACUAAUAAAGUUAUCUGGUUCAUACCCUGAGUAUAGAGUAAUUCUCUCUCCUAUU
rnacentral:tRNA from 1 species